CCUUGGGGAAAAAAGGCAGCACACUGGAAGACGACGGCAAACCCUAGUGCUCACUCCACCGCGGCGCCCACCACCCCGAUCGGGGCUCGAUUCCGAUGGACUUCGCGGAGCUGGAGGCGGUGGAGGGCCUCCGGUGGCCGUGGCACUCGUGGCCGCCGGCUCCCCCUGCCGCCGCGUCGCUCGUCGUCCCCACCGCCGUCCUCUGCUCGCCGCUGCAGCACCCCACGGCGCCCGACCUCCUCCCGCUGCUCCCCUACGCGCCGCUCCGCUGCGCGACCCCCGGGUGCGGCGCCGCACUCAACCCGUUCUCGCGCGUGCACCACGGCUCCGCGCGCUGGUCCUGCCCCUUCUGCGGCGCCGGCGCCAACCCGUUCCCGCGCCGCCUGGCGCCCGACGCGCUCCCCGCCGAGCUCUUCCCCACCCACUCCAGCGUCGAGUACGCGCUGGCCGCGGACCCUGCAGAGGCAGGCGGGCCGGGGCCGCCCGCGCUCGUGUUCGUGGUGGACGCGGCCACGGAGCCCGCGGAGCUCGCCGUGCUCAAGGGCGAGGUGCGCAGGGUCGUGCAGGGGCUGCCCGAGGGGGUCAGGGUGGCGCUCGUGACUUUCGCUGCGUCGGUGUGGGUGCACGAUCUCGGAUUCGAAGGGUGCGCUCGGGUGGUCGUGAUCAGCGGCGAGCGCGAACUUGAGUCUGACAAGAUACAAGAACUUUUAGGUGUCCACCAUUCACGAUACAAUAAGUUGGCUAUGCCAAGGUCCGCUGAAGCACAGAGAUUUUUGCUGCCUGUUUCUGAAUGUGAAUUUAACUUCACAUCUGCAAUAGAGGAUCUGAGCUCCAUGUCUGCGUGCCCACGUGGGCAUCGCCCUUUAAGAGCAACUGGCGCAGCUAUUUCCACUGCUAUUGCUCUUCUGGAAGGUUGCUGCUCACCCAGUACCGGUGGUCGGAUUAUGGUCUUCACAUCCGGUCCUGCAACAGUUGGUCCAGGGCUUGUGGUGGAAACUGAUCUUGGGAAAGCAAUUCGUUCUCAUCGUGACAUAUUCAAUAGCAAUGCACCGCUCACUGACAAAGCACGUGACUUUUAUAAGAAAGUUGCAAAGAGGUUAACAGACCAUGCAUUAGUUCUUGAUCUAUUUGCCUGCUCCCUUGAUCAGGUUGGGGCUGCAGAGCUGAGGAAUCCAAUUGAAGUGUCAGGGGGUUUAAUAGUGCAUACAGAGUCAUUUGAGUCCGAGCAGUUUAAAAGCUGUUUUAGGCAUAUGUUCAAGCGUGAAAGUACUGAUUACCUUAACAUGAACUUCAAUGCUACAAUUGAAAUAGUGACAUCAAAGGAGGUGAAGAUUUGUGGUGCCCUUGGUCCCUGCAUUUCCCUCCGCAGGAAAAACAGCUCAGUUAGUGACAAGGAAAUUGGUGAGGGUGGGACAAACUAUUGGAAAACUAGUUCUCUGAGCAGCAAGACCUGCAUUGCUUUCUUUUUCCGAGUUGAUUGUAGUCAUAAAGCUGAGCCCCCAACUGUCUUCUUUAUUCAGUUCAUGACAAGAUACCGACAUGGUGAUGGUAGUUAUCGCCUAAGGGUAACAACCGUUGCAAGAAGAUGGGCAGCACCUCGAUCUCCUGAAAUUGCUGCAGGGUUUGAUCAGGAAGCUGCUGCGGCUGUUAUGGCCAGGCUUGCUGUUUACAGGGCAGAGACAUACCACGUUAGAGAUGUUAUACGAUGGCUUGACAAGAUGCUUAUCCGUUUUACUGCUAAAUUUGGAAACUAUGUUCCUGAAGAUCCAUCCACAUUUCGGCUGUCAACAAACUUCUCCCUGUAUCCGCAGUUCAUGUACUACCUGCGGAGGUCACAGUUCAUUGAUGUUUUCAACAGCUCUCCCGACGAAACUGCUUUCUUCAGGUUGAUGUUGAAUAGGGAGGGAGUUGUGGGGUCUCUAAUCAUGAUCCAGCCGACUCUAUUCCAGUACUCAUUUGAUGGACCACCUAUUCCUGUGCUGCUAGAUGUCAGCUCCCUCUCUCCGGAUGUCAUUUUACUAUUUGAUUCAUACUUCUAUAUCGUGAUUCAUUAUGGCUCAAAGAUUGCUCAGUGGAGGAAGCUUGGUUAUCAUAAGGACCCAAACCACGAAAAUUUGCGGAAGCUACUUGAAGCACCAGAAGUAGAUGCAGAGGCACUUAUGGUAGAUCGUUUCCCUGUGCCAAAACUCAUAAAGUGUGAUCAGCAUGGUAGCCAGGCCAGGUUCCUGCUCGCUCGGUUGAAUCCAUCUGUGACACAGAAAACACAGCUUUCAGAGGGAUCUGAAGUCAUUUUCACCGACGAUGUUAGUUUGCAAGUUUUUAUUGAACACUUGCAGGAGUUGGCUGUUCAGGGCUAGAAAGGCACGGAGCCUAACCAUUUUUGUGCUAUCCCAGUUGGGUCCAUAUGUGAUCCUGAAAAAUAUGGCUUUCAGCGGGACCGGACUUCAUAUUCACUGAUGAAGUUUACUUGCAAGUAUUUAUUGAACACUUGCAGUAAUUGGUUGUGCAGAAUUAAAUUGUUAACGUGGAUUAUUUAUAUGCUAUUUUCUGGUCGCCUGCAUAUAUACUGGGAGAGCUCUACUGCCUGGAGGGGUGAGAUCUCCCUGAGUUGUACAUUGCUCAAGCUCCAGUUUGAUAGAAUUUUAGCUGAUGACACUGACCAAGACCGAUGGCUUCAGAACUCUUCAUGAUCCUCAGGCGCUUGCAUGACUCGACAAACAUCCUGCAGGGAUUAUAAUUGACAAGCCAACAUAAGGAGCUGAAGUCUGAACAUCUUGAUCUCAUCCUGAUCAUGGGUCAGUAAAUAUGAAAGCAUGUAUUAUUAACGACCAGGCACACAAGGAUGAAGAACAUACUCCCAUGGUACGUCGCCAACAAGCAUCCAGUCGCCAUCCUUGUCUUCGUAAGUAGUGACAACAUCGGCACCACUCACCGGAUCAACCAAUUUCCCCUCAUUCAUGUUCCCUGUGAUGAUUUACCAGUUGUGAAGGUGCUGAACAUCUUCUUCAGAGCAAUUGACAGGUCCUUGUAGCUGUUGUACAUCUUAAGGUCCACCUUGCGCAGAUAGGGUGCGCCGUCCAUGCUGACCUUCACGAAGGCAGAGCUGUUGCUGCCGGCGUUGGCAGCGGGCUGCUGCUUCUCGGGUUCCUCUUCCUUCUUGCUCUUCACUGACUGGACGGUCAUGACGUUCCUGCGGUAUGAUCGUACUGGUGGCCAACCCACAGCUUGUGCCCUGAUAUACACGCACAAAUUUAGUUGUAGUUCCAUGAAUUUCACAUAUCAGUUCUGGUCUAGAGCUUGAAGAAGUUGGGAUUCUUUUGCUAUCUUCUCUGCGACCAGCUCUGCUUUCUGCUAAUAUUGUGUAUAAUGAAAAUGUGGUGUGGUUAAGGCCACAUGAAUCAUGACCGUCAUGAUUAUUCAGAAAUCACUUGGGAACAGGUGUGCUUCACCUGAUACUUAAAAUAUUUUGCUAAGUAUAAUCCUUCAUUUUGCUCAGUAAAAA